rnacentral:snRNA from 1 species
CGCUUAGUGCAGCGGCGGUAUUGUAGACAAUGAGAUUUAUACAAGGCGCGAUUAUUGCUAAUUGAAAAUUAAAAGUUAUACAAAUACAGAUGUCAAGAUAGAGAUUCUCAAGAGA